CAACCCGAAGGCUUUCUUCACACACGCGGCAGGGCUGCAUCAGGGUUUCCCCCAUUGUGCAAUAUUCCCCACUGCUGCCUCCCGUAGGAGUCUGGACCGUGUCUCAGUUCCAGUGUGGCUGAUCAUCCUCUCAGACCAGCUAGAGAUCGUCGCCUUGGUGAGCCAUUACCUCACCAACUAGCUAAUCUCACGCAGGCUCAUCAAAUAGCGAAAGGUCUGUAAACAGAUCCCCUCCUUUCCCCCUCAGGGAUUAUGCGGUAUUAGCAGUCGUUUCCAACUGUUGUCCCCCACUACUCGGUAGAUUCCUACGCGUUACUCACCCGUCCGCCACUCGUCAGCAACUAGCAAGCUAGUUCUGUUACCGUUCGACUUGCAUGUGUUAAGCCUGCCGCCAGCGUUCAAUCUGAGCCAGGAUCAAACUCU
rnacentral:rRNA from 1 species